AUUUGCUUCUCAGUCCCAGAAGCCCAAGUUCUAUGUUGCACAGAAAUCUGGCUCCAUUGUGCCUAGGUGGCCUGGUAGAAAGGGUUUUUUUCCUUCUUCUUCUUUUUUUUUUUUUUUGGUACCUUUUCUGCUAAGAAACGGCAAUGUGCUCUGCCUGCCUAACCCAGCCGCAGCCUGUCGUUCCCUAGACAAAAAGCGGUGGCCCGCUGCUCCCUGCAGCGGCCGCGGCCGCGACUCGGGGAGGCCGAGCCACCCGGACCCACGGGGUUACGUUUUCGUUGGGCCGGCUACAGAUGGUGCCCCAGCACCGCGCUGAGUCGGGGGUGGUGUGGGGGGGCAGGAGGACCGGAGGGGGAGGCCGGGAAGGGGGUCGGGCGGGAGGGGCGGAGACCGUGGAGCAGCCAAUGGGCGUGCAGCCCAUCAGCUGACCGCUUUUGCUUACACCAGGUGCACGCCGGCUGCGGGGAGCACAAAGCGGGGCGCACCGAGGGCGCCGGCAGCUAGCCGGCGAGCUAAGCGAGGCCCGUGCGCCCGCGCCUGCAGCGCCCUCCGGGCGGGGAGAGGGGCCGCCGGCGUCAGCGCGGGCAGCAGCAUCCGCGCGGUGGCAUCCCUAGGCGCUCCGGACGCCCUCCUUUGGACCUGGACACUCGCUGCCCCGCUGUCGGCAUCCCGCUUCCAUCCUUUACCCCAAUCCUGCCUGCCUCUGCCCGGCCCCGAGAGCCGGAUUGAGCCCAGGCCCGCGCAGCAGCUGUUGCUCGUGUUACUGCCUCGCUUCGCGUCUUGGUGCUCUGCCGCGAGCCCCCUAAGGAGCCAGUGCCUGUGGGUUUGGAGGGAGGUGCGGCUCAGCCGGUCCUCCUUCUCCUCUCCCUCCUGCUGCCGCCUCCGGUGCCCGGUCCGUGCGCACCCCGACACCCCUGCCAGCCGGGCCUCGGGGAAAUAAAUCUGAUUGCUGCCUAAUGGCACAUUCGUUAUAAUGCUGUUGUUCCUGAGAAGAAAGUUGUCUAAGGUAAUUAAAUAAGAGCUGAGUAGGUUUCUAUUGAAGCAGAAAUGCAUAGCCCACUGCUUUUCCUAUUGAUAAAAGAAAUUUUUCUC
ensembl:lncRNA